rnacentral:rRNA from 1 species
UAAUACAGAGGGUGCAAGCGUUGUUCGGAAUCAUUGGGCGUAAAGCGCGCGUAGGCUGUUAUGUGUGUCUGAUGUGAAAUCCCGGAGCUCAACUCCGGACGUGCAUUAGAAACUGCAUAACUAGAAUCCCGGAGAGGAUGGUGGAAUUCCAGGUGUAGAGGUGAAAUUCGUAGAUAUCUGGAGGAACAUCGGUGGCGAAGGCGACCAUCUGGACGGUGAUUGACGCUGAGGUGCGAAAGCGUGGGUAGCGAACAGGAUUAGAUACCCUGGUAGUCCACGCCGUAAACGAUGGAUACUAGGCGAAGGAGGUAUUGACCCCCCCUUUGCCGUAGCUAACGCAUUAAGUAUCCCGCCUGGGAAGUACGGUCGCAAGACUA